rnacentral:lncRNA from 1 species
AUCUCUUGGAGAUCUAGCUCACCUCUUUGGUGUUGUUCUCAUCUGAUUAAUCUAGUUCUUGCCAAUUCUUCUUGAAUCUCUUGUUAGAUCUCGAGUCUGUAUUUUUGUGUCCGUAACAGUUUGUCGAGAUUGCACUCACCUCAGAUAUCAAAGCUAGUUUCUUCUUUGUUAGAGUGUGGAUUAUCCCUAUGCUUGGAAGUGUACUAGUAUUUUAGAGGUUGCGGAUUAUCCUCCUCUAAACUGAU